rnacentral:rRNA from 1 species
UGAGCAAUCUGCCCUUCUCUUUGGAAUAGGCGUUGGAAACGACGUCUAAUGCCGAAUACGACCUCCUUUCGCAUGAUCGGAGGUGGAAAGCUCCGGCGGAGAAGGAUGA